UUAAGUGUUUCAGGGAAAAA
rnacentral:siRNA from 1 species